rnacentral:rRNA from 1 species
CUGCGAGUGAACAGGGAUUAGCCCAGCACCGAAGCCUGUGGCCAGUUGGUCACUAGGCAAUGUGGUGUUCAGGUUGUUCCGCAAAGGUACUGCUCCACCCUAAGUCCAUAAAUGAGUACGGUGGUACGGACAUGGCCCACAGAGGGUGAAAGGCCCGUGGGGGUGGAGACCAGGUAGGCCAGUAUCUUUCUGGAUAGACCUUGGAGUCGGGUUGUUUGUGAAUGCAGCCCAAAGUGGGUGGUAAACUCCAUCCAAGGCUAAAUACAAGCACGAGUCCGAUAGCGAACAAGUACCGUGAGGGAAAGUUGAAAAGUACUUUGAAGAGAGAGUAAACAGUGCGUGAAACCGGUCAGAGGUAAACGGGUGGAGUUGAACUGCAAGCUCUGGGAAUUCAGCUGGUGAGUGUGGCUAGAGCUUGGCUAAUAUGUUGAGCCCUGGAGUCUGCGUAGCAGCAGGCCUUUGCCCCUUGUGGGUGAGGGUGCGCGAUGCACUUACCAAGUGUUGUGCGCUCUGGGUGUUCAUCGAGCUGACUCGCCAGUGCACUUUCUCAGAGUGGUCAUCACGACCGGCACUGCUGUCUGGCUGGUGUGGUUAAACCGAUCUCGUAUUGUCCUUGUGGCUCUGCUUGGUCGGGAUGGCAGGUAGCUCGGUGAUUUGCCUGUGAUCUUCGGUCGCGGGCGCUGGUCAUUGAGUGUAACUGGCUGACCACAUUGGUUCUGUGCAGUGUGUCGGAGACGGCGGCUUUUGUGUGUGCGCGCGUGCCUGUCUGGCCGGCGUGUCCGGGUUUGGUCGUUUGUGCCUGUUCACGCAGGCCUGGCGAUGGCUCGGGUUCGUUCGGUUGGCGGUUGCGUGCGUGGCACAUUUAUUGGGCCAACAGUCUGUGAUGUAGUGGUAGACUAUCCACCUGACCCGUCUUGAAACACGGACCAAGGAGAGUAACAUGUGCGCGAGUCAUUGGGCGUUACGAAACCCAAAGGCGCAGUGAAAGUAAAGGUCUGGCUUGUCCAGGCUGAGGUGAGAUCCUGUCGUUUCUCAUGCGCGGUACCACCAAGCUACGAGCGGCAGGCGCAUCACCGGCCCGUCCCAUAACAAUUGUUUUCGAGCAGUACCCAGUGGGGGCGGAGCAUGAGCGUACAUGUUGAGACCCGAAAGAUGGUGAACUAUGCUUGCGCAGGUUGAAGCCAGAGGAAACUCUGGUGGAGGACCGCAGCGGUUCUGACGUGCAAAUCGAUCGCCAGACGUGAGUAUAGGGGCG